rnacentral:rRNA from 1 species
GAUCCUGGCUCAGGACGAACGCUGGCGGCGUGCUUAACACAUGCAAGUCGAACGGUGAAGGGACCGGUUUUUGCUGGUUCUGGAUGAGUGGCGAACGGGUGAGUAACACGUGAGUAACCUGCCCCCUUCUUCUGGAUAACCGCAUGAAAGUGUGGCUAAUACGGGAUAUUCUGUGCCUGCUGCAUGGUGGGUGUGGGAAAGAUUGCGCUUUUUUGGUGUUUUUGGUGGGGGAUGGGCUCGCGGCCUAUCAGCUUGUUGGUGGGGUGAUGGCCUGCCAAGGCUUUGACGGGUAGCCGGCCUGAGAGGGUGGGCGGUCACACUGGGACUGAGAUACGGCCCAGACUCCUACGGGAGGCAGCAGUGGGGAAUAUUGCACAAUGGGCGCAAGCCUGAUGCAGCGACGCCGCGUGAGGGAUGGAGGCCUUCGGGUUGUAAACCUCUUUCGCCAGUGAAGCAGGCCUGUCCCUUGUGGGUGGGUUGACGGUAGCUGGAUAAGAAGCGCCGGCUAACUACGUGCCAGCAGCCGCGGUAAUACGUAGGGCGCGAGCGUUGUCCGGAAUUAUUGGGCGUAAAGAGCUCGUAGGCGGCUGGUCGCGUCUGUCGUGAAAUCCUCUGGCUUAACUGGGGGCUUGCGGUGGGUACGGGCCGGCUUGAGUGCGGUAGGGGAGACUGGAACUCCUGGUGUAGCGGUGGAAUGCGCAGAUAUCAGGAAGAACACCGGUGGCGAAGGCGGGUCUCUGGGCCGUUACUGACGCUGAGGAGCGAAAGCGUGGGGAGCGAACAGGAUUAGAUACCCUGGUAGUCCACGCCGUAAACGUUGGGCACUAGGUGUGGGGGGCCUUUUCCGGGUCUUCCGCGCCGUAGCUAACGCAUUAAGUGCCCCGCCUGGGGAGUACGGCCGCAAGGCUAAAACUCAAAGGAAUUGACGGGGGCCCGCACAAGCGGCGGAGCAUGCGGAUUAAUUCGAUGCAACGCGAAGAACCUUA